rnacentral:rRNA from 1 species
GACGUAGGGCGCAAGCGUUGUCCGGAUUUAUUGGGCGUAAAGAGCUCGUAGGCGGCUCGUUGCGUCGGCUGUGAAAACCCGCAGCUCAACUGUGGGCUUGCAGCCGAUACGGGCGGGCUGGAGUUCGGUAGGGGAGACUGGAAUUCCUGGUGUAGCGGUGAAAUGCGCAGAUAUCAGGAGGAACACCGGUGGCGAAGGCGGGUCUCUGGGACGGUACUGACGCUGAGACGCGAAAGCGUGGGGAGCGAACAGG